rnacentral:rRNA from 1 species
UACGUAGGGCGCAAGCGUUGUCCGGAAUUAUUGGGCGUAAAGAGCUCGUCGGCGGCUUGUCACGUCGGAUGUGAAAGCCCGGGGCUUAACUCCGGGUCUGCAUUCGAUACGGGCUGGCUAGAGUGUGGUAGGGGAGAUCGGAAUUCCUGGUGUAGCGGUGAAAUGCGCAGAUAUCAGGAGGAACACCCGUGGCGAAGGCGGCUCUCUGGGACGGUACUGACGCUGAGACGCGAAAGCGUGGGGAGCGAACAGG